AUUUUUAGUGAAGACACGGUUUCUCCAUGUUGGUCAGGCUGGUCUUGAACUCCCGACUUCAGGUGAUUCCCCUGCCUCAUCUUCCCAAAGUGCUGGGAUUACAACCAGAGCCACUGUGCCUGGCCGUGAUUAACUUCUAGCCAAUGAAAUAUGAAUGGAAAUGAUGUGCUCAUUUUUAGGGUUAAUGAAGUCCUAUUCUCCCUUACUCUUUCUUCAUCAACCUGAUGCCUUUCAGCAUGGUGACCUUGAAAACUAUAUGUUGGAGAUGCCAAAGACAGAAAAGAGAAGAAGGAGUGGCUGAAACACUACUUGGAAGAGAGCCACCCCAAUUAGAUACAUUCCUUUUUGGACUUCCUGUAAGAGAAAAAAUUGAGAUUUGAGAAUUUAUAUCUAUAGGAGCUAGAAUGACCAUAACUAGUCCAGAAACUGGUACCAGAAGUGGAGUACCGCUAAGACAAUAACCUAAAAUAUGUUACAUCAGCUUAGUUAUGAUGUAGCAGGUGGUAGAGAAUGUGAUUUGGAGGCUGGAAAAAGGAGGCUCAUGUUUGCAGUGGCAAAGUAAUUAGUAAAACUGUCACCUGAAAUAAUUCAAAAUCAGAUCACCUAUUUAGAUUAGCUCCAGAGGAAAUGAUUGAAAAGAGCAAAAGUAAUACUACGUGUUGAAUUUUAUAUUUUACUUUUAGUAAGUUUUUACUAAAGAGAAACUCAGGAGAUACUUGGCAGAAGUGAGAGUGUACACAAAUAUUUCUCAGGGAGGGUUGGAAAAGGUGACUUUUUAAGACUUCUAACAAUAUUAAAAAAAAAAAAAAAAAAAGCUAGAAGAGGUCUUGAGUAUAGUUACCCGUGAGAUUAAGUCCUGCAACAAAGAUCAGGAAAAGGGUUUGGUCUUUCCAUUCAAAGUCAUUAUUGUAGAUGGCUUCAAGAUAGCUAUGAUAAAGGUCUAAAGGAACUGGCAUAGGAGCAAGGAAGCAAAGCAGUAAAUUAGGCUUGAUAAUUAUGUAAGAAAGAACUUUGGGUGUAGUUACUAGAAGCAAAUCAAUCAGAAGACUACAUUUUUGGAGGAACUUUAUUACUAAUCAUACUAAAUCUGGUUCAGAUAUCAUUGGGUGUUAAAACAGAGGGUAACUGUCCAACCCGAAGCUUGCAUAAGUAGAAGAAUAGAGCAUUAAACCUUAACAGCUCUCCAGUACCCACAUAUGAUGUGGCCGUGGAGAAUGAUGGAAAAAAAGAACAUUUCAGAAGCUCAUCAGGAGCUGUACAAAGGAAUGGACAGGGAGUUUUUUCCUGAAGACUAGAAUUGGGGUCUCAUCAAAACUGUUUUCAGUCUCCAGGAGAUGGGCCACAAAAUGUUUAUGCAGUAUUUCCUCAUUAUUAUACAUGAAUAGUAUUGUUCAGUAUCAUUUUUCUUUUCUAAAUGAGAGAAUGUAUUAUAGUUACCUGUCUCUGAGUUACCACUGUAUAUUGGAUUUGUAGGGAUGGGGUGACAAUAAAGAUAAUUUGUUUUUUUAGUUCUUAGGUCACAUCUGUACCUAAUGAAGACAGCUGCACAUUUUCUGAAAAUCCUAGACUUUGAGCCUGUUCCAGUAACUGGUUAAAACUUCAGAUUGUCUCCUUUGAGACAGGGUAUGUUCUGUGUGUGGAAAGACAGGUAAAAUACAUGUUUAGUGAUCAGAAUAGUAGAUUCUUGCAGAUACUGAAUUCUUCUGGCCACACUGCUAUAUUUCCAUGCUUCUCUUCCAAUUAGGUAUAUGGGUUAGGUGUGCUAAUUCGGUUCUAACCAGUGGAAUGUGAGUAGAAGUGAUGUGCUCCUAUUCCAGCUCUCGCCCAUGGAAAUAUCACAUGAGCAAUCCAGUAUAUUACCACUCCCUACCAACUUGAGGCAGAUGAGCAAAUUUGCACUGGAAGCUAUGUGUUAAAGAUGGCGAAGCCACAAGGUAGGACUCCUGGAUUCCUGAAUCUUCACUUGGAGGAUACUUGCUUCCCAAUUAGAGACACUUGUGCUAGAGUUUACUGACUCUUCACUUGGAGGAUACUUGCUUGCCAAUUAGAGACACUUGUGCUGCAGUUCAUAUGCAUUCUUUUGUGUUAGGCCACUGAGAUUUGAGAGCAUGUCCGAAUGUAGACCCGUCCCUCUUUCUGCAGAUGCAAUCGUUCAUUACCUAAUUCUGAUUUUUAUACCACAGGAUGGGUAUAAAAAUCAGGCUAGCCAAAGUAUCCUAUCAUUCAGCCAUAGUGAUUAGUUCAGGAAUGGGCAGAUUAACAAAACUGAAGUUAAUCAGAGAGAGUUUCACCAUUUGGGCUAGCACUAUCGAGAAAAAGGCACCUGCUUUUGAAAUAAUAAUUAAAAAAAAAAACAACAAGCUACAUCUGGCCUUUGGUCAUCAUGUAGAGUGAACCUGCCUAAGAAUGAAAUCAUUACAGGAAAACAGGCAGUCUCAAUGAUACCGCAGAAGGAGAAGAUAUCCCAUGAAUUGAGAAAUAUUUCCUGGGUUUCUACUCAAGAUUGAAAUUCCAAGAGAGCUACUACAAAGUGCUGGAGAAGGAAAAGCUAAAGCAGCCUGUCAUCCUGAAGGCCAAAUUAUGUAGCAGAAGAGCUUGGGAAAAGAUUAAGGCGGUGGUGGGGAGGACCUGUGUCCUGGUGGCUUGAAGCCACAGGGAAAGAGUUUCACUAAAUGCCAACAAAUGCUAAAUAAACAAAACAGGGAGCCAGUG